rnacentral:rRNA from 1 species
AGAGUUUGAUCCUGGCUCAGAAUCAACGCUGGCGGCGUGCCUAACACAUGCAAGUCGCACGAGAAAGGGGCUUCGGCUCUGAGUAAAGUGGCGCACGGGUGAGUAACACGUGACUAACCUACCUUCGAAUGGGGAAUAACUGAGAGAAAUCUUAGCUAAUACCGCAUAAUACCUACGGGUCAAAGCAGCAAUGCGUUUGAAGAGGGGGUCGCGGUCGAUUAGUUAGUUGGCGGGGUAAUGGCCCACCAAGACGAUGAUCGAUAUCCGGCCUGAGAGGGCGCACGGACACACUGGAACUGAAACACGGUCCAGACUCCUACGGGAGGCAGCAGUGGGGAAUUUUGCGCAAUGGGGGAAACCCUGACGCAGCAACGCCGCGUGGAGGAUGAAGUAUCUUGGUACGUAAACUCCUUUCGAUGGGGAAGAUUAUGACGGUACCC